UCAUCAGACAACGUUCUACCCUGUAAGAUGGAUGAUACCUUUCGGGAGAGGAUUUCCUAACACCACUUUAAUCAAUAAUGGCAGACCUGCUCAGCCACUGAGAAAACUGGGAUGCUGUACAAGAAACACGUUCAUUCGCGUAUCUACUGGCUUAAUACAUAUUUAUUGGCAAUCUAAUAUGCACCAAACACAGUGAUAGGCCCUAGGUGAACAAAGUCUCCAUGGUAACUAACAUCAUGAAGCCCAUAAUACAAUAAGAC
rnacentral:lncRNA from 1 species